rnacentral:rRNA from 1 species
UACGGGGGGGGCAAGCGUUGUUCGGAAUUACUGGGCGUAAAGGGCUCGUAGGUGGCCAACUAAGUCAUACGUGAAAUCCCUCGGCUUAACCGGGGAACUGCGCCUGAUACUGGUUGGCUUGAGUUUGGGAGAGGGACGCGGAAUUCCAGGUGUAGCGGUGAAAUGCGUAGAUAUCGGGAAGAACAUCAGUGGCGAAGGCGGUCUGCUGGGCCGUUGCUGACGCUGAGGCGCGACAGCGUGGGGAGCAAACAGG